rnacentral:rRNA from 1 species
UACGGGGGGAGCAAGCGUUGUUCGGAUUUACUGGGCGUAAAGGGCGCGUAGGCGGUCAGCACAAGUCAGUUGUGAAAUCUCCGGGCUUAACUCGGAAAGGUCAACUGAUACUGUGCGACUAGAGUGCGGAAGGGGCAACUGGAAUUCUUGGUGUAGCGGUGAAAUGCGUAGAUAUCAAGAGGAACACCUGCGGCGAAGGCGGGUUGCUGGGCCGACACUGACGCUGAGGCGCGAAAGCUAGGGGAGCGAACAGG